UACGUAGGGGGCAAGCGUUGUCCGGAAUCAUUGGGCGUAAAGAGCGUGUAGGCGGCUCGGUAAGUCCGCUGUGAAAGUCCAGGGCUCAACCCUGGAAUGCCGGUGGAAACUGUCGAGCUAGAGUCCGGAAGAGGCGAGUGGAAUUCCUGGUGUAGCGGUGAAAUGCGUAGAUAUCGGGAGGAACACCUGUGGCGAAAGCGGCGCACUGGACCAUAACUGACGCUGAGGCGCGAAAGCUAGGGGAGCAAACAGG
rnacentral:rRNA from 1 species